rnacentral:rRNA from 1 species
UACGUAGGGGGCUAGCGUUGUCCGGAAUCAUUGGGCGUAAAGGGCGCGUAGGCGGUCAGCACAAGUCAGUUGUGAAAUCUCCGGGCUUAACUCGGAAAGGUCAACUGAUACUGUGCGACUAGAGUGCAGAAGGGGCAACUGGAAUUCUCGGUGUAGCGGUGAAAUGCGUAGAUAUCGAGAGGAACACCUGCGGCGAAGGCGGGUUGCUGGGCUGACACUGACGCUGAUGCGCGAAAGCGUGGGGAGCGAACAGG